CUAUUUUUGUUUUUAAUGAAGGCUCAGUGUUUGUUAAGUGUGAAAAGUGCUUAACAAACUACCUGAACAUAGGAAAUGUCAAUGAACUGUAGCUCUGCCAGUUGAGAUAAUGACUUUUGUCUUUGUAGUUUUCUUUCAUUUUUCUUUGUGUGUACUUGUGCUUCCCAUCACACUUUCUUCCCAGCUCUGUACUCCAAGACCAUCCCUUUGGCUGAUUAUGAGAUGGGCAUGGCUUUGGACAAACAAGAUCAACUGUGUUUCAGGGAAUAGUCACUAAAUCAUCAGCAAGGAACAACACAGUUCUAGAAAGUUCUCUGAUAAGCUUAUCAAAUCUCUUUUACCAAUUGGUCCAUUCUGCAGUCUGUCAUGUCUGCUUCCAAAAUGAAAACCACCACAAAAAUGACCAAGAUUAGUCCCUAUGAAACAUCAAAUCUCAUCUCGCCAUGGCUUGCUCAUCAUUCUUCCUUUGCAUGUUAUGACAUGCUGAGGAGGGUGGUAUCUGAGAAAGACCUUGAAGAAUGCAUGGAACGUUCUUAUGGCAGAGAACAGGUAGGUAUUCCAGGUGGUGAGACUAAUAUAAGCAAUGGUAUAGAAAUAUAUGUAAGAACAAAAAAGUAGUAAAAUCGUUAUUUUGUUGGAACACAGGUUGCCAUGUCCAGGAAAAGCAGAGGAAUACACCUCAAUAUGGCAUUUCUGGUGAAGUCCGAGUACUGCUUGCUGAGGGUUCAUCUGCUUCCAAUGCCCCUUCUGCCCCCCCACACCCCCUGCCGCCGUAAAAUCACAAUCUGUUCCUGGGAGAACAUAUUCAUUUGCACAAUAACCAAUUGUAAUGGGAAAAAGGAGGGAUUCUAACAUCAGUUGGGAACUUGGAAACAGAAAUUCUGAAAUUGAAGGAAACCUACAUGGUAUCUGGAAGGAUCCCCAGAUCCUUUCUAAGAUGAAGGGCAGUGAAGUCCAUGCUCAUUCCAGACCCUGAGGGGUUUGAUAUGGGAGGAAAGGCAACUCUGACUGGAAUCAGUGAACACUUCUGGUUGUCUACAUAAAACUCUGAGUCAAAAGAACCCCCAUCAAACUUGCUUGAAGUGAGGUGGACUGGACUGGUCUUUUAGUGCAGUUCCAGAUGCCGGCUGUGGGCAAACUGAUGAAACUGCCCCCUUACCAAGGAUGUGAUUGAACAAGACCUGGGACCUGAAAAAAAAUCUUGCAAUUACACUUUUCUACCACUAGAUGAUAUGCACGUAUAAGCAAGAUGAAAACCCUCCUGUGUUUUCUUGCUGCAUCAGUGGCCGCAGUGAUGAUAGGGGCCAUUGAACUACUACUGCCUAUGGGCCAAAUCUGGUUUUCUGCCUCUCUGUAUAAAUAAAGUUUUAUUGGAACACAGCCAUGCUCAUUUGUCUAAGACUGAUUUUGCUCUACAAUGACAGUGAUAAAGAAAGUGACUAAAGAUACAUUGACUCCUGGCACACACAUGAAAUGACUGUAGCAGGCCUACACGAUGGAGAACAAUUUGGGUAAUUAAUUGCCUCAGAGUCAUACAUCACAUGGAGAAGAUGGGGAUAAUGAGGAACUGGAGGGCUGAAGUCCAUUGCUGGUUACGUCAAGUGGUGUCAGAUUUGGCUUGCUCUUCUCACUUCCUGUUGACUCCAAGAAAAAAGGCUGCAGUUGGCGCCUGACAGUGAAAAACAUGAAGCUCUGAGACCUGUCUGAAUUACUAAUCACUACAUGUCCUGUUCAGUCUGACCACUUUCCAAGCAAUGAAGCGAACUGGCCAGGUCAGUGACUCAGCUUCCGAAGGGGGAGCCAGCAGUCCGAGCUGAUCUGUAUGGCCCUGGUUUCACUUCCCAAGGUUUGAUCGGGGAGCAGCUUCGGAAGGGUGAUUUCGCCCUGGAGCUUGUCUCUCCGGGGACAGAACGAUGAACACAGAUGAUGCAGUGUAUAGUCUACUGGAGAAGUCUCACUAUAAGUCUUUGGAGGGAAAGAGUUGCAAGAAUGUCAUCUUUCACCAGCUGGUGUCACUCUUUGGAACCAGUCACAAGUAGCUGGGUGUGGUAGGGUGAGGUUGUCUGAAGUUUGAAUGAAGAAAAUAUAUUGAGUAGGAAACAUUAACUUCUUUUCUUUUUUUGGCUUAACUGCUAGUAGAUACAGUAUUCCCUUGUUUGUGUCAGUAACUACCGAAGGCUCUUGAAGAUGUCACCAUUUUACCAUGGUGUAUUCAUAUGCCUGGUUUUCUAAGCGAUUUAGCGGAACUUUGCUGCUUUUAUUAAGCUUAAUGUCCAGUUACCAAAAAAAGCACCACAUAGUCCGUGGUGGAAACAGGGGUGGGCGUAUAGGGGCCACAUGGGAAUGUAAUUCCAGGAACUCCUGGGUCUCAUAUGCAAAUUAGAUUAAAAGGCUCUGUGGCCAGGGCUCCCAGAGCAAAUCAUUCCCAUUCCCACCUCUUUUCAUAGCAUUGUCUCCUGUGGGAAUACAGAAAUCACUUUCAAUUGAUUUCAGCUACUGCCUUGUUUUAACAAAGGGGGCCACAUGCCUUAGUUUGUCUGCCUGGCCUAAGAAAACUCCUUACCAGGUAAUCUCUUAAAUACUUAAAAAAAAAAAAAAAAAAGACUUUGAGAUCCUUAGGAGAAAAUACUGUAAGUAAAUCAAAGUCCUAUUUUCUCAGAAAGAAAGUUGAGUCUUUGAUUGGCUGGUGCCACCACCUCCUUCAGGCGAUUUUCAUACUUGGCAUAGAGCUUGUAGUCAUUUCUCAUAUUCCCGUUGUUUUGAUUAGUCAACACAUGAUAACUUGACAACACUCAAAUGUGAGAGGUUGAGGAAGGGAGGGUGGCAGGGAGGGAAGAAGCCCUUCAGCAAGCAACGCUUUCUUGAAAACGUCUUAAAAAAUAUAUAUUUCAAACACAGGGACUGAAGGUGAACUGGAAGAAUAUAUCCAAGACCACAAGCCCAGUUCUCUGAAGGAUGGCUCUCUGGAAAGAACGUGUGAGCCUGUGCACACGUGGGCAAAACUUUGUAAGCAUUUGUUGCUUUUGCAUCUUGGAAAGGAAAUCUUAACAACCCCAGACCUUCUCCACAAGAGAAAAGAGGGGAAGAAUCCUGCUUUACAUCUUCUCAUCACUAAGGCUUCCACCGAAGACAAAAGUGCUUGUAAGGGGUAUAAAAAGUGUGCUCCGGAAGUGAGGUGACUUCUUAGUUGUGUCCUGUAUGUCAACAGAUGCUCAGUGAAAACAAAGAAAUAUCCUCCUUCCCAUCUAGCUCAUUUGGGGUUUCUUUUGCCCUCUCUGCCUGUCCUCCACCUGGUUCGCAUGGACUCUGGUCCUGGCUCUAGCCCACUGAAGGCAGAAAGAGGCACAGAGCCUUGGCCAUACCCAGCCUCUGUCUGUUCUCAUUGCGCAUCUUCUCUGCUCCCCCUUCCAGCCUCUCUCCCUGCUCUCUCCCCAGACUUGGACCCCAGUUACACUGCCCAGAAGGGCAGUAUGACCUCUUACUUCUUCUCUGUUGUGCUUGGGGGAAUUAAAUACAGUAGAUGCACUUGGUUCUGGCUUUGCCUCAUUAAGAGGUCUCUAUGGAUUAAUUCCUGAGAGAUCGAAUCUCGUUACUUUACUGUGGCAAAGUGAAAUUAGUGCAAAGUAACAAGGAGCCAGAUUAAUGUGACCCCAGGAAAUAAUCCAUAAAAAACUUAUGAGGCCUUUAGCAGGCUGUAAAUUGGAUUUCAGACAGGGUUGGGGAGGAGGAAGAAUCAUGUUAAAAACAAUCAGUUUGUAAUGAAUAGAGCUAAUAUUUUAGCUCUUCCAAAUAGAAGAAAACACCAGAGUAAAUAACUCUGAGAACCCAAUGGCAAUAUUUUCUAAGAUGUGUAAAUAAUUGAAAUUGUGAUUAUAAUCCUAACUGAAUUUUUCUUGCUUUAUGGCUGCUGGGAAGUGUAUUGUUCAUUACACAUCACAGAACUCUAAAUCAAAAGCACAAAGGAGAGGGGAAGGCAAAAUAAAGAAAUGAAAAAGAAAAAUAUCUUGUCUGGGUGAUCAGUUGUUUGACUUAGUCUAUAGGCAGGAGAAUAUGUAGUCUUCAGCCUUUUGCAAUAAAGCAGUCAGGCCGUUGUAAAGAUCUAUCCCUUCACAGGUUUGAACAGUUACAGCAGAGCCUGAAAAGCAAAUAAACAACUCAUUAGGUCCAUAUAGUGUUUUUCUGGGAUAAAGAAACUGACUUUGAAAGAAGAGGAAUGGUUUGGAGACUGAUAGUGUACAAAUUUCUUUUAUUUUCUUCUCUUUUUUAGCAGUAAUAGGAAUGGAGAAGUGACAGGCACUCAGUCAUCAUCUCCAGAAAUCCUGUGUCCUGAAGUUGUUAAGAAAGGAUGCUGUGGAUAUUUUACAGAAUGAGUUAAAAUAAUCCUAAAAUUCACCUGUAACUAUGAAAGACCCCAAACUGCCAGAGUAAUUUUUAGGAAGAAGAACAAAGCUGGAGACACCACACUUCCUGACUUCAAGCUAUAUUACAAAACUAUAGUAAUCAAAGUAGUAUGGUACUACAAUAAAAAUGGACACACAGACCAGUGGAACAGAAUAGAGAGUCCAGAAAUAAAACUAUGCAUAUACUGUCAACUAAUCUUCAACAAAGCUAUACAAGAAUACACAAUGAGAAAAGAACAGUAUCUUUAAUAAAUGAUGUUGAAAAAACUGGAUAUCCCUAAUGCAACAGAAUGAAAUUGGAUACUUAAACCAUGGACAAAAAUCAACUCAAAGUGGAUUAGAGACUUGAACUUAAGACAUGAAACUGUAAAACUUUUGGAAAAAGUUGCUUGACAUUGGCCCUGGUAGUAUUUUUUUUCAGAUAUGACACCAAAAGCACAGUCAUCAAA